UACGGAGGGUGCAAGCGUUAAUCGGAAUUACUGGGCGUAAAGCGUGCGCAGGCGGUUCGUUGUGUCGGCGGUGAAAGCCCCGGGCUUAACCUGGGAAUGGCCGUUGAAACUGGCGAACUGGAGUGUGGCAGAGGGGGGUGGAAUUCCGCGUGUAGCAGUGAAAUGCGUAGAGAUCGGGAGGAACACCAGUGGCGAAGGCGGCUUCCUGGCCUGUUCUUGACGCUGAGGCGCGAAAGCUAGGGGAGCAAACGGG
rnacentral:rRNA from 1 species